rnacentral:rRNA from 1 species
AGGGUGUCCGGCCACACUGGGACUGAGAUACGGCCCAGACUCCUACGGGAGGCAGCAGUGGGGAAUAUUGCACAAUGGGCGCAAGCCUGAUGCAGCGACGCCGCGUGGGGGAUGACGGCCUUCGGGUUGUAAACCUCUUUCACCAUCGACGAAGGUCCGGGGUUUCUCGGAUUGACGGUAGGUGGAGAAGAAGCACCGGCCAACUACGUGCCAGCAGCCGCGGUAAUACGUA